rnacentral:rRNA from 1 species
CCUACGGGUGGCAGCAGUGAGGAAUAGUGGUCAAUGGGCGAGAGCCUGAACCAGCCAAGUAGCGGGAAGGAUGACUGCCCUACGGGUUGUAAACGUCUUUUAUAAAGGAAUAAAGUGAGGCACGGGUGCCUGUUUGGAUGUACUUUAUGAAGAAGGAUCGGCUAACUCCGUGCCAGCAGCCGCGGUAAGACGGAGGAUCCGAGCGUUAUCCGGAUUUAGUGGGUUGAAAGGGAGCGUCGAUGGGUUGUUAAGGCAGUUGUGAAAGUUUGCGGCUCAACCGUAAAAUUGCAAUUGAUACUGGCAGUCUUUCGUUCAGUUGAGUUAGGCGGAAUUCUUGUUGUAGCGGU